rnacentral:tRNA from 1 species
ACAGUGAUGGUUUAGUGGUAGAAUUCUUACCUUCCAUGCAGAAGACCCAGGUUUGAUUCCUGGCCAAUGCA